rnacentral:rRNA from 1 species
GACGAACGCUGGCGGCGUGCCUAAUACGUGCAAGUCGAGCGGACUUGAAGGAGCUUGCUCCUGAUAGUUAGCGGCGGACGGGUGAGUAACACGUGGGCAACCUGCCUGUAAGACUGGGAUAACUUCGGGAAACCGGAGCUAAUACCGGAUAGGUUCUUCUCUCGCACGAGAGAAGAUGGAAAGACGGUUUCGGCUGUCACUUACAGAUGGGCCCGCGGCGCAUUAGCUAGUUGGUGGGGUAAUGGCCUACCAAGGCAACGAUGCGUAGCCGACCUGAGAGGGUGAUGGGCCAAACUGGGACUGAGACACGGCCCAGACUCCUACGGGAGGCAGCAGUAGGGAAUCUUCCGCAAUGGACGAAAGUCUGACGGAGCAACGCCGCGUGAGUGAAGAAGGUUUUCGGAUCGUAAAACUCUGUUGUCGGGGAAGAACAAGUACCAUAGUAACUGAUGGUACCUUGACGGUACCUGACCAGAAAGCCACGGCUAACUACGUGCCAGCCGCCGCCGUAA